UAAGAAUGAGUCCGCUUGGGAGAGGAUCAGGAAGGGAAGCAGCGGUGAGAUGAAUGUAACAGAAAAGUCAUUAUUAUUUAUUAUUACUAUUUUUUGGAGACAGAGUCUUGCUCUGUUGCCCAGGCUGGAGUGCAGUGGUGUGAUCUCAGCUCACUGCAACCUCCGCUUCCUGGGUUCAAGCGAUUCUUGUGUCUCAGCCUCCCAAGUAGCUACAGACGUGUGCCACCUCUCCCAGCUAAUUUUUUCUAUUUUUAGUAGACAUGGGGUUUUGUCAUGUUGCCCAGGCUGGUCUUGAACUCCUGAGCUCAGGCAUUCCGCCCACCCCUCAGCCUUCUGUAGUGUUAGGAUAACAGGCGUGAGCCACCGUGCCUGGCCAGAAAAGUCAUUAUUGAUUGCCCACCA
rnacentral:lncRNA from 10 species